UACGUAGGGACCGAGCGUUGUCCGGAUUCAUUGGGCGUAAAGAGCUCGUAGGCGGCCACUCAAGUCGAAUGUGAAACCUCGAGGCUUAACCUCGAGCCUGCAUUCGAUACUGGGCGGCUAGAGUCUGGUAGGGGGAUCUGGAAUUCCUGGUGUAGCGGUGAAAUGCGCAGAUAUCAGGAGGAACACCGAUGGCGAAGGCAGCUCGCUGGGACGUGACUGACGCUGAGACGCGAAAGCGUGGGGAGCAAACAGG
rnacentral:rRNA from 1 species